UGGGCAGCCAUUUCGUACUUCCAAUCAAAUGAGACCAAUUUUAAUCAGGGUGGAAGUUCAUUUGGAAGCACACAGCCAGUGGCAUAGUAUCGCUAGUGAUCGGAGUACUAAUGGAUUUCCUUGCCAAAUGCCAUGGGUUAUUUUGGCAUGCUAAAAGUGGAAAUAAUUUUCAUAAAAUCUGGUGUAAUUGUGAAUAGGGAGUGUAAAUUUGAGGGAUUCUUCAAAGUUCAUGUUAAAUUAUGUGCUUGUACCUAAUAGGCUAUGGAUUUAGAUCAGCACUGUUGUGCAGCUAGUGUCUGUCAGUUGUGUAGUACUGUAUCCACG
rnacentral:misc_RNA from 1 species